rnacentral:rRNA from 1 species
GUGGCGAACGGGUGAGUAACACGUGAGUAACCUGCCCUUGACUCUGGGAUAAGCGUUGGAAACGACGUCUAAUACCGGAUACGAACCGUGGAGGCAUCUCCUGCGGUUGGAAAGAAUUUUGGUCAAGGAUGGACUCGCGGCCUAUCAGGUAGUUGGUGAGGUAACGGCUCACCAAGCCGACGACGGGUAGCCGGCCUGAGAGGGUGACCGGCCACACUGGGACUGAGACACGGCCCAGACUCCUACGGGAGGCAGCAGUGGGGAAUAUUGCACAAUGGGCGAAAGCCUGAUGCAGCAACGCCGCGUGAGGGACGACGGCCUUCGGGUUGUAAACCUCUUUUAGCAGGGAAGAAGCGAAAGUGACGGUACCUGCAGAAAAAGCACCGGCUAACUACGUGCCAGCAGCCGCGGUAAUACGUAGGGUGCAAGCGUUGUCCGGAAUUAUUGGGCGUAAAGAGCUCGUAGGCGGUUUGUCGCGUCUGCUGUGAAAACGCGAGGCUCAACCUCGCGCCUGCAGUGGGUACGGGCAGACUAGAGUGCGGUAGGGGAGAUUGGAAUUCCUGGUGUAGCGGUGGAAUGCGCAGAUAUCAGGAGGAACACCGAUGGCGAAGGCAGAUCUCUGGGCCGUAACUGACGCUGAGGAGCGAAAGCAUGGGGAGCGAACAGGAUUAGAUACCCUGGUA